rnacentral:rRNA from 1 species
ACCAUGCAAGUCGAACGAUCCUUCGGGAUAGUGGCGGACGGGUGAGGAAAANNNAANAGNAUCUACCUUCUGGACGGGGAUAACAGUGGGAAACNAGNNGCUAAAACCGGAUGAGCUGAGAAGUAAAAGAGAAAUCGCCAGAAGAGGAGCUGAGGUCUGAUUAGCUAGAUGGUGGAGUAAAAGCCUACCAUGGCGACGAUCAGUAGCUGGUCUGAGAGGAUGAGCAGCCACACUGGGACUGAGACACGGCCCAGACUCCUACGGGAGGCAGCAGUGGGGAAUUUUCCGCAAUGGGCGAAAGCCUGACGGAGCAAUACCGCGUGAGGGAGGAAGGCUUUUGGGUUGUAAACCUCAAAAAUUAGGGAAGAAGAAAGUGACGGUACCUAACAUAANNAUCGGCUAACUCCGUGCCAGCAGCCGCGGUAAUACGGAGGAUGCAAGCGUUAUCCGGAAUCAUUGGGCGUAAAGAGUCCGUAGGCGGAACUUCAAGUCUGCUGUCAAAGACCGAAGCUUAACUUCGGAAAGGCGGUGGAAACUGAAGAACUAGAGUACAGAAGGGGUAGAGGGAAUUCCCAGUGUAGCGGUGAAAUGCGUAGAGAUUGGGAAGAACACCAGUGGCGAAGGCGCUCUACUGGACUUGUACUGACGCUGAGGGACGAAAGCUAGGGGAGCAAAAGGGAUUAGAUACCCCUGUAGUCCUAGCAGUAAACGAUGGAUACUAGGCGUAGAG